UACGUCCAUAUCACGUCGAAACACCGGUUCACGUAGGAUCACCUAAUUUAAGCAACGUCGAGCCUGGUCAGUAUCUAGAUGGGUGACAGCUUAGGAAUACUAGGUGCUGUAA